GAAAUUUGAAAUUGAAAAAUGACUAGCAGUUACAAGAAGAAUGAAGCGACGAAAUAGGGAGCAGUUUGCAGAACGUGGAUAAAGCAGUUUGCAGAUCGUGUGGCACGACGUCUGCUAGUUUCUAGGAGUUUUUGCCUGUAGGAAGUUUCUUUAGUUUAGUAUAAAUAGGAUAUCCCACGAGGGGCUCCAGGUGUUCACCUUGUACUAAAAAAUCACUUGUAAGAAAC
rnacentral:lncRNA from 1 species